CCCGAAAUAUUCCGCGUAUGACACCGUUCGCAUCUUGCUGUUAAUGUACGAGCAUUUGAGCUAUUUUCGUUGCGUUCUUAACAAAUUUUACUUUUGUUAUUAUUGUGUAGAUCUUUUUAACUGCCGUUAAGAUUGCCCGAAUGGAUUCUGAUUAUUUUGACGAUUUGAAUUCAAGUAUAGAAAUAGGAUAUACUCAAAGACGUAUCCGUCAUAUUUCGUCAAGCGAUCACAGCGAAGUUGGUCAACGCAGUAGUUUUGUAGAUAGAGAUUUGUAUGGAAACCCCAAAAUCAUACGCCGAUUGUACAUAAUUUUUCAAGCGUGAGCGGUGUAACUGUAAAUACACAAGAAGUUGAAAUUAACGAAAAUAAUAAAACUGCUGAUAUACGGCUGCGCGUGAUAUGGGCCAACUGUCAAUUGGGUGACGGCUGUCUGAACACACUAACUUAAGUAGAGUCAUGAUGCAAAUGAGUUGAUAAUUCGAUAAUUUUUAUAAUAUAGAUAAAAAAAUUUACAGCAAUAAAUUUAACGAUACAUAUUAUGUGUAAAUAA